AGCUGACGAGUCCCAAAUAGGACGAAAUGCGCAUCCU
rfam:Trichobilharzia regenti genome assembly, scaffold: TRE_scaffold0012345